AGCCAUUCAUCCCGUGAUGAGUAGAGGUAGCAAAGCUCAGUGGUGUUAGGACCGUUGCCUCGGUCCCAACAGAAACCACAGGUGUUUUCGAAUCACAUGACAGUUGUCUCAGACACCGCCCGACUUUCCAAAUGGCUGUAACUUGAGCUUCACUGCCUGGUCUCGUGGUCUCGUUUCGUGAGGCAGCAGAGAAGCAUAUGUGCUGUCAAUUACCGCAAACAAUUGGGGUUUUUUCAUGUUUUCUUUUCCCGAGCCCACCAGAGGGCGCCAUCAAGGACCUGCGGGCGGGCCCCAGGGUGCGUGCGGUGGAGCCACAGCCAGAGCCCGGCCGGAGCCUGAACCUGAGCCAGGGCGGGGUCGCAGCUGCCGCGGCCCUGGGGACACUGAGCGCUCUCCCGCCCAGACCCCGGCGAGGGACGCGUCCUACUGUCGGCCGGCGGCCGGCGUUGGCACGAGGCCCCUGCCCCACAGCUGAAGACGGACUCCACCGGGACCGGCACCCUGGGGCAGCGCGUGAGGCUGCCGAUCAGGCGGCCGCAGAGUCCCGGGAGUGCGCGGGACCGGCGGUCGCCGCCGCCACCACCGCUGCUGCUGCUACUGCUGCUGUCGGGACUGGUGCGGGAGGGCGCAGCAGGUGUCUGCAACAACGGUCACGUGAUUCGAAAACAUCUGUGGCUUCUAUCAGAGACCAAAGCACAGGUUCUGCAAAUCCUGCUGAGCUCUGUUGCCUCCAUUCAGCAUGGGAGAAAGGCCAAACUUCAGCUAGAGAGAGUCCCUGGGGGCUGCCCUUGGUGGCCGAUAGCCCGGCGGCCAGGGCAAAGGUGGUGAUGGCAGAACUGGGACACCUGAAGUUGGAAAAGAAGCCAUGGCCUACAAGGACACACUCGCUCCACUACUACUACCUGACCCUAUCAGAGCCAGGCCCAAGCCUCCCUAAGUUUCUGGCUGUAGGCUACGUGGACGACCAGCCCUUCAUCCGGUUUGACAGUCGUGUGGGCAAGGCUGAGUCCCAGGCCCCAUGGAUGACGCCAAUGGAUGCCCAGUACUGGGAGACGGAGACCAGGAAGCAGGAGAAAUGGGCGGAGGUGCAGCAGGUGGAGAUGUGGACGGUGAUGGGCUACCACAACCACAGCAGUGGGAUGCACAGCACUCAGCGCAUGUUCGGCUGUGAGAUCCAGGAAGACGGCCGCUACAGGGGCUUCUGGCAGUUUGGCUACGAUGGGCAGGACCACCUGUCGCUGGACCUGGAAACCCUGAGCUGGGUGUCAGCUGAGCCCGUGGCCAUGCGGACCAAGCACUGGUGGGAGACAGAGCGCUGCUACGCAGAGUACGACAAGGCCUACCUGGAAGGCCCCUGCCUUGCCUCUCUGCACAGAUACCUGGAGCUGGGAGGCCAGAGAUUCAGCCGGAGAGAGCCACCCACAGUGCGGAUAACAGAGCACUCGGCCAAGGAUGGCGGCACCAUCCUGAGGUGCUGGGCCCUGGGCUUCUAUCCACACAACAUCUUGCUGAGCUGGUGGCUGGGGGAGAAGGAACUGGACUCCGAGUAUGCGGAGACACGCCCCAGUGGGGACGGCACCUAUCAGACGUGGGCGGCUGCGUGGGUGCCGGCGGGGAAAAAGGCCCAGUACACCUGCCGCGUGCAGCACUCCAGCCUGAACCACACGUUCACUGUGUCCUGGGAGUCCUCUCAUCCUGGACUUACUGCCAUGGUUAUCUCCCUCGUCCUGGUCUUGCUGGUGGUGGUUGGUGGUGUGACCUUGACCAAGUGCAUUCAAGCCAGGAAUAAGGAAUCUUACGAGCAAGCCCCAGGUGGAGAGGACCCCCAUAAUUCCCAAAGCCCAGCAAGAGCAGGGGCUACUCCACUCAUCUGCUGACAGAAGGUCACCGUCACAGAUCAAGGAGGUGUUUUGUGGGGUGUUUGGGGACCUGAAGGCCCCCGGCACUGGCUGGCUGAAGGGAAAGACCCCUUUUCGCUGUGUCCCGUGGAAAUGCUUGUGAAGGAUAUGUCUGGAGAAGGCCCAGCCUCACCUUUGCAUCUUCAGUGGAGCAGAAACCCCAUGUCUCCUCUGUGAACAAGAAUCCAGUCUCACGGCCAUUUGAUGUGCUAAGGGGCUGGGACUCCAGAGCCCUGGCAGAGAGAGGGAGUGCUCAUAAAGGACACAAGGCCAGACCCCUCCCAGGGCACCCUCUGCCUCCCCUUCAGCUGACCCCAAGGUGUGACAGAGCCUCCCGUGGAGACUUUUGAAACCUCCGUGUCUGCAGCCCUGGGAGGCUCCGAGCCUGAGGAUGUGAACGACUAAUACUAGAAAAAGAUUCAGCCUGCCCUGGUGGCCUGCAGGGCCCCAGCAGUGAGCUUGUAAUUAUCCGAUUGUCCUGAAGACGUGUCUUAAAUGUCUGUCCUUCUCAGUGAUGAUGUCAUGUUCCGUAUAUGCUGAGCAAACCAGAUGCUAAGCAGGGUUCUAAGCACUGCACUGUAUACUAAGCUGUUUAAUCCUCAAAGCGCACCUGUGCGGGAUAAUUAAUACUCCUGUGCUACAGGUGAGGAAACUGAGGCCCAGGGUCCCACAGCUGGUUCAUGCCAGAGCUGGGAUGUGAGGCCAGGUAGUCUGGCCACUGCACCAAAAGUCUCAAUGACAACUGUGCUAUUCUGUAAAUAGGCAAGCAAGUACAGGUCUGCAAUCCCUUACCCGCAAUUCUGAAAUCCAAAAAAAAAACCGCCAAAAGCCAGAAGUUUCUUCCUAACUUUGUCGUCAUAACCUGACCUGGGGGACUUCCCUGGUGGUCCAGUGGUUGAGAAUCCGCCUUCCAAUGCAGGGGACAUAGGCUCGAUCCCCGGUCGGGCAACGAAGAUCCCACAUGCCG